AAGGACAGUUAUGAAGAGGAUGAAAAAUGGAAAAACCGUUGGUCCAGAUGACAUACCAAUGGAAGCAUGGAGGUGUUGAGGAGAGAUGGCAGUGGAGUUUUUAACCAGAUUGUUCAAUGGAAUCUUGGAAAAUGAGAGGAUGCCUGAGGAGUGGAGAAGAAGUGUACUGGUGGGCCAAUAUUUAAGAAUAAGGGGGAUGUGCAGCACUGCAGUAACUACAGGGAGAUAAAAUUGAUGAACCACAGCAUGAAGUUAUGGGUAAGAGUAGUGGAAGGUCAGUUAAGAAGUGAGGUGAUGAUUAGUGAGCAGCAGGAUGGCUUCAUGCCAGGAAAGAGCACCACAGAUGCAAUGUUUGCUCUGAGGGUGUUGAUGGAGAAGUUUAGAGAAGGCCAGAAGGAGUUGCAUUGCGUCUUUGUGGACCUGAGAAAGCAAAUGACAGGGUGACUGAGAGGAGCUGUGGUAUUGUAUGAGGAAGUCGGGAGUGACAGAGAAGUACGUAAGAGUUGUACAGGAUAUGAAGUGUGACAGUGGUGAGGUCUGCGGAGGAGUGACGGAGGUGGGAUUACAUCAGGGAUCGGCUCUGAGCCCUUUCUUAUAUGCAGUGGUGAUGGACAGGUUGACAGAUGAGAUUAGACAGGAGUCCCUGUGGACUAUGAUGUUUGCUGAUGACAUUGUGAUCUGUACCGAUAGUAGGGAGCAGGUGGAGGAGACCCUGGAGAGGUGGAGAUCUGUUCUAGAGAGGAGAGGAAUGAAAGUCAGUGGGACCACCAAGAAAGAAUACAUGUAUGUAAAUGAGAGGGAGGUCAGAGGAAUGGCAAGGAUGAGGGGAGUAGAGUUGGCAAAGGUGGAUGAGUUUAAAUACUUGGGAUCAACAGUACAGAGUAAUGGGGAUUAUGGAAGAGAAGUGAAGAAGAGAGUGCAGGCAGGGUGGAGUGGGUGAUGAAGAGUGUCAGCAGUGAUUUGUGACAGACGGGUAUCAGCAAGAGUGACAGGGAAGGUCUACAGGACGGUAGUGAGACCAGCUAUGUUAUAUGGGCUGGUGAUGGUGGCACAGGAGACAGAGCUGGAAGUAGCAGAGCUAAAGAUGCUAAGAUUUGCAUUGGGUGUGAUGAGGAUGGACAGGAUUAGAAAUGAGGACAUUAGAGGGUCAGCUCAAGUUGGAUGGUUGGGAGACAAAGUCAGAGAGGUGAGAUUGUGUUGGUUUGGACAUGUGCAGGGGAGAGAUGCCUGGUAUAUUGGGAGAAGGAUGCUAAGGAUAGAGGUGCCAGGGAAGAGGAAGGCCUAAGAGAAGGUUUAUGGAUGUGGUGAGAGAGGACAUGCAGGUGAUGGGGGUGACAGAACAAGAUGACGAGGACAGAAAGAGAUGGAAGAAGAUGAUCCGCUGUGGCGACCCCUAACGGGAGCAGCUGAAAGAA